rnacentral:rRNA from 1 species
UACGUAGGGGGCUAGCGUUGUCCGGAAUCAUUGGGCGUAAAGAGCUCGUAGGCGGUUUGUCGCGUCGAAUGUGAAAACCCGGGGCUCAACCCCGGGCCUGCAUUCGAUACGGGCAGACUAGAGUUCGGUAGGGGAGUCUGGAAUUCCUGGUGUAGCGGUGAAAUGCGCAGAUAUCAGGAGGAACACCGGUGGCGAAGGCGGGUCUCUGGGCCGAUACUGACGCUGAGGAGCGAAAGCGUGGGGAGCGAACAGG